rnacentral:misc_RNA from 1 species
AAGUCGUAACAAGGUAACCGUAGGUGAACCUGCGGUUGGAUCAUUAAAAAAAAAAUUAUUUUUUUAGUCUCUGGGGUAUUUCUCAUAUGAGAGGGACCCCAUGAUGGCUAAAUUAACACCUGUGCACUUUGAAUGUAUCUUGGGUAGGUUUAUAUACUUAUCCAAAAAUUUUGAUAAACCCCUAUUGAUUAUGUCUGAAAAUUUUAUAUUAAAAUAUAAACAACUUUUGACAACGGAUCUCUAGGCUCUC